rnacentral:rRNA from 1 species
GGAUGAACGCUAGCUACAGGCUUAACACAUGCAAGUCGAGGGGCAGCAUGAGAUUAGCUUGCUAAUCUUGAUGGCGACCGGCGCACGGGUGAGUAACGCGUAUCCAACCUUCCCCUUAGUAGGGCAUAGCCCGGCGAAAGUCGGAUUAAUACCCUAUGUUCUUCGUAGAGGACAUCUGAAAUGAAGCAAAGAUUUAUCGCUAAGGGAUGGGGAUGCGUCUGAUUAGGUAGUCGGCGGGGUAACGGCCCACCGAGCCUGCGAUCAGUAGGGGUUCUGAGAGGAAGGUCCCCCACAUUGGAACUGAGACACGGUCCAAACUCCUACGGGAGGCAGCAGUGAGGAAUAUUGGUCAAUGGGCGCGAGCCUGAACCAGCCAAGUAGCGUGCAAGGAUGACGGCCCUAUGGGUUGUAAACUGCUUUUAUGCGGGGAUAAAGUGCACCACGUGUGGUGUUUUGUAGGUACCGCAUGAAUAAGGACCGGCUAAUUCCGUGCCAGCAGCCGC